CAGCAUGAUAGGGAUAUUUUCUAAUAAGGUCCUUUAACCUCUCCCAUGUUUCAUGGAAUAUUUCUCCAUCUAAUUGGAAAAAACUAGUUAUAAUUUUUCUUAUUUG